rnacentral:rRNA from 1 species
UGAGGAAUAUUGGACAAUGGGCGAAAGCCUGAUCCAGCUAAAUCGCGUGGGUGAUGAAGACUGUAUUGGUUGUAAAGCCCUUUACUUAAAGAGAGAUUAUGACAAAGUUUAAGAAAAAAGUCCCGGCCAAUCUCGUGCCAGCAGCCGCGGUAAUACGAGAGGGGCAAGCGUUAUUCGGAAUGAUUGGGCGUAAAGCGCACGUAGGCUGUUUAGAAAGUCACAAGUUAAAAAGAUCAAAGCUUAACUUUGAAAAAGAUUUGUUUGACUUCUAAACUUGAGUGAAUAAGAAGAGAAUGGAAUUCCUGGCGUAGAGGUAAAAUUUGUUGAUAUCAGGAGGAACACCAAAAGCGAAGGCAGUUCUCUAGUAUUCCACUGACGUUGAGGUGCGAAAGCGUGGGGAUCAAAAG